AGCUGUUUAUGCUAACUAAGGUUCUUCUUCUACGCCUUCUUCUCCGGCACCUGGUGAAGACACUGUGGUUGAGCUGACGCCGCCGCAUGGACAGAAGUGGGAAGCCAGAAAAUGGCGAUGACGGCAGUUACAGUGGUACAUCAAGCACAAACAAAUGAUGGGAUAAGUACAAGAGACUGUACCAAAAUGGAUUUGAAGCUGCUAUUUUAAGAAUGUUUUUUCUUCAUUAAACACGAGGCUGAGUCGGAUCCCUCAGCGUCAACCAGGGGCAUUGAUCUUUGCCAUGGCCUGCUUCAUCACGUCUCUAGCAAGAGCGUAGCGCCUCACAAUCUGCCGCACGUGCUCCUCUUCCUCGCGCUUCAGGAUCCGCAGGAAGUUGCACAACUCGGGGAAGCUAAACGCAUCCCACUGUGGAGAGGAGACAUUUCUCAUUAAUAACCAGACUCAAGACUUUCUCACUGGGGCCGGCACACAAGCGCAGGGCGAACUUGGCUGGGUUGUCCACCACGGUGAACUUGUUGAGCAACGCCUCGAUGACUUCUCGCACGCGCGUUCGGGAGCUUAUAUGCAGGUGCUUGGCAGUGUCUUUGGGGAGGUAGAAAGACGUCCGCCGUUUCAGCCGU